AUUAGACUGUGCGUAAACCCAAAUAGUCAAUCCCGAGAGCCAUGGCCAGGAUCCUCGUCGCCAUUUUUGCGACUUUGUGCUGUAUGGCAGUCCUGGGAGCAGAUUUAGCGGGUGCCUUGGGUAAUCCGAGAGGUGGGCAGGUAUGCAAGUUGAAGUGCCCUCCUUGUUACAAGCUUGACACGGCCAACCCAGGCGUCUGCGCUUGUCAGAUAGAUAAAAAAAUCAAUUGCAUUUGCAACAUCGAUGCAAAGUGUAAUUGCCCUCCUGGACUCGUUGGAUCGAGAUGUAACAGGGGCAAUUGCGUGUGUGUGAAGAAAGAUAGUUGAACAGCGAUAAUUCGAUAUCAGAAUUCAGAAUAAGAGUGUAACAGGGCAAGAAAUCUCUGAUGUAAUGGACAAAACGAAACGAAAAUAGUAAUACUCAGUUUUUUAUUUUUCUUGAA